UCGCUGUGGAGCGCUCCGUGCCCGUUCCGUGCGGGGGCUCGUGGGGAACUCCCCCUUCCUCGGGGAAUGACCCGUCCUGCGGCUUCUGGAGGGGCAUCGCUGGGGACAGGACAGGAUUUGGGCAGGAGCUGCGUGGUGCCCUCAGCACUUGCCCUUGUGCAGUCCAAAGAAAAGGUGCUUUAUUGCAUUCCCAGAAACUGCUCCAACAGCUGUAGACUUCCCCCUGCCUUCUCAGGGAGAAAACAUUCCGUAGUGGCAGAAUGGUUGCCACAGACACCACGUGAGUGCCACACCACGGCGUGAGCCUUCAGGCCCUGCAAGUCCUCGCCCAGACUUGGUGAAGUGUUGAAGCGUGAACUGACUGCUGGGAGUAAGGAUGUGUCUGGCAAAUGGCAGUGCUGCCCACUGAGCCGCUGUUUCUAGAGAAGAGGGUCCUGUCUGACAGGCAGCAGGCAGUGGACACGGCUCAGUUGCCACGUCUGCCGUGGAUGGGCACGGAACUGGACAGCGGUGCUUCUGGGAACAGUGGUGGCUCGUGGCUGAGGUGCUGCUGUUGGAGAGGGCAGUGGUGGUGUCUGCUGCUGGGCAGAUGGCCGGGAGCGGGUCAUAUCCAGGGAGCAGCGCAGGCAACACGAGCAGAAUGUUGGAGGAUGUGGAAUUUCCUUGAAAGUUCACCUGUUUGUAGCUUUUCUCCCGUGGCUUGGAGUCUCUUUGGUAGCUUGUGACCUGUGUCAGGUUUCUUUGGUUUGGUUUUGUUUUUUCCCGAUCAAAUGAAAAGGGUGGGUUUUACCACAGGCAAGAUUAAGGAGGUUUUCAGAAACGUUGGAGAGAGCUGUCUAAUGUUCCAUCAGGGUGUCCAAGCUGUCUGCUGUCAGUGCAGGAAGGCAGGCAAACUGCAGGGUUAUUAUUUGCAGAGGGAUGACAUGAGGUUUAUUGUUGAUUGGACCCUUUGUCCUUCUUAACAACGAAGGAAAUACUUGUGACAGACAAAGCCGGGAGCACUGGAGCUGUUCUGGGGCAGUGGCGGGGGCGCGGCUGCAGGGGGAGCUCCCGGUGAAUGGUUCUGGUCUGGACAGGGUUCGGGGCACUCGCAGCUCUGCUUUGGGGUUUUGGGGCUUUUUUUCUGCUUGUUUUUAAAGCCAAGAGUUAUUUGUGAUGUCAGUCUCACUGCUUGCAAUUGUUCUUUUGGGUGUCAGUGAAUACAUUUGAUAAGCCAGGGGGUUCUACAAUUCAGUUGUUCUAAAUGAGGUGAUUCUCUUAGUGAGCAAUUGGAGUUGUUUCGUAGUGUGGACUGCAGAAGGAUUUUUCUGUCAACUAAUUGUUUUUUAAUUUCUUUUACAGCUCUCCUACAAACUCUCCACCGGUGUGCAUUUGCUGCACUUGCUGUGGGGGCUGGAGUGAGAAGCAGCUGGAGGUGUUUGCUCUCUGCUCGGUCCCCACCUUCCCCUCAGUUCCCUGGGACUCCAGUUCCCAGCCUCGGUCAGGGCUUCCUGUGGAGCGUUGGUGCUGCUACUGGGAGAGAGAAAUCCUUUGGGAAGCUGGGAUACAACCAGCAACUCUGUGAAUUGCUCAGCUUGUCCUAGGACAAGGAAAAUCACUGACUUGGGUCCAGCUCUGCCAAUGCCUUGGGGUGUGAGCAGCCAAAGGCAAGAGGCUCCAGCCGUGCUGGGGGCUCCUGGUCCUGCCAGUCUGGGGUUCCCAGGCACUUCAUAUUAAAUGAUGCCAUGAGAAUAAUUUUGGACUGAAAGGGGAAAGGAGCUGUGUCUGUGAGAGUUCAGCUGUCCAUGACAAAAGCUUUCUGCUUUUCCAGUCAGUAAGGUCUUCAAAUGUCUUCCAGUGUGUAGGAAUGCCUGGCUUCUAAAACUCACCAGCUGAGUCUUAGAGGCUUCUUUGCCGAGCUGUUUUCAGGCAGCCAAAUGGGCCCCCAGCAGGGACUCUGUGCCUGCUAUCCUGUGGUUCCGAGGGAUCUCUGGGCCUUCACGCCAGCACCGAGAUGUUCUCGAGAAGGCUCUCAGAUCCCCGGAGCAGUCUGGGACACAGGCACGAUCCCCCUGCAUUUUGGGAGCAGAUUGGGCCCCCUGGAGGGACAGUGCUGUUGGUGCCCCCGGGCUCGGGGACCUCGAGGACUUGAGCGCGCACCAAAAGGAUUCUUCACGGAGCUCCUGUGGGUGCCCCAAGCUGGGGAGCUCAAAGCAAGGUCCCUGGAAUGGAUUGAGGCAUUCCUGAGGGUAUCAGAGGUGUACCUGUCCAUCCUGGCCAUGGAGCUCUGGAAUGGACUGUAAUUGGGUUAUAAAAGUGGUGCUCCGACUGCAAAAGAAGUGUGGGAUUGGGAUUAAGGAAUGAGUGGUAAUGGUACCAUUGGCUGUUUUCUCUUGACUGGAAUUGUGAGAGCUGCAGGAGUGCAAGGUGUGGGUUCCAGUCCCCACCAUUUGGUUUGCACAUGUCCUGGUCAGACACAGGUCCAGCUUCCUCAAUCCUGAACACAGUGGAAGGAGAAUUAUGGAAUAGCACUGUGAAGGUGAUUGGUGUGACAGGGGUUAAACUGGGAAAACCUUGGGUAAUUCCUCAGCUUCUCUCUUUGCCAAACUUGCCCAAACCUCUGCUAGGAAGAGAUUUGCUGGAAAAGUUGAGGCAGAAAUUAAAUUGGAAAAUGGGGAGAUUGAAAUUGUAAUUCCUGAAACUAAAUGUGUGAGAGCAGCAGCUCUUCUUGUGCAGGAAAUAACUCCUGUCAGCAGCACCAUCCUGACUGAAGUGGCAGAUGGAGUUGUUCCUGUCAUGUGGGCCGGUGGAAGAGUUGUGGACUAUGAAGGGCCAGGUUGGACACUUGUCAAACAGCAGCAGAAGUGGCUCUCCAGGUAUCCUAGUAUAAAUAUGGGAAGCAAAGGGAUCAAGUAAACCAGUGCAUGCUGUGACUGCAGAGGCAGGGAUAGGUUGGGAUCCCAAAAAGUGGAGUGGAGGUACUUGGUAUUCAGCUGCUUUAGACUGUGGUUUAGAGGGUGAAGUGUUUGCUGAAGCACAGCCAAUAACAGGAGGGAAAGGGGAAGGUGCCCCUGAUGGUUAUCCUGUCAGGCCUGAUGUGGUCGAGGUUUUUACUCAGCCUGAAAUGGGGGAGUCUGGAUCAUUGCCUUCUCUUUCUGCAGGGACACUGAGCUGGUCCACCUGUGCCAAGAAGAGCAAGUGGGCUGUGAAGGUCUGGGGCAGUCUGGAAGGUUCCUCAUGCCCAAAGGAUCCUGGCAAGUGCAGCCCUGGAAGAGUCAGGAAUAAUGAAAAGUGCCCCAGUUCUCAUCAAGCUCAACUUUGUAAAACAUUAAUGAGGAUAAAAUUCCUCAGCAAUGAACUGUUGUGUCCCAAAUAAUAGUGGAGGGAGAGGCAAAAACUCCCACUGGUGCUGGGGCUGAACUGUCUGCAGUGACCAGGCAGGACUUGGCCCUGAUGCCUGAGUGCUCUCCAGUGCUCCAGGCUGGCUCCCACCUGUCAGCCCCUUGCUCCAUAACUUGAGGAGAGAGUGUUCCUGCAAGCCCAGCUGCUGUGUUGGUAGUCCUGUGUGCACCUCUUGCCCUGGCCUGCUGUGACUGUAUUUGUGUUGCAGCUCAAUAAAGUGGUGAUUGUGUGA